rnacentral:rRNA from 1 species
AUACGUAGGUGACAAGCGUUAUCCGGAUUUACUGGGCGUAAAGGGCGCGUAGGCGGUCUUGCAAGUCAGAAGUGAAAUUCCUGAGCUCAACUCGGGCGCUGCUUCUGAAACUGCAGGACUUGAGUGCUGGAGGGGAUAGCGGAAUUCCUAGUGGAGCGGUAAAAUGCGCAGAUAUUAGGAAGAACACCGGUGGCGAAGGCGGCUAUCUGGACAGUAACUGACGCUGAGGCGCGAAAGCGUGGGGAGCAAACAGGAUUAGAUACCCUUGUAGUCCACGCCAGAAACGAUGAAUACUAGGUGUAGGGGGUAUCGACUCCCUCUGUGCCGCAGUUAACACAAUAAGUAGUCCGCCUGGGGAGUACGGCCGCAAGGUUGAAACUCAAAUGAAUUGACGGGG